rnacentral:rRNA from 1 species
UAAUACGGAGGAUGCAAGCGUUAUCCGGAUUUAUUGGGUUUAAAGGGUGCGCAGGCGGCGCGUUAAGUCAGCGGUGAAAUCUCCCGGCUCAACCGGGGAACUGCCAUUGAUACUGGCGUGCUAGAGUACGGACGGCGCCGGCGGAAUGUGUCAUGUAGCGGUGAAAUGCUUAGAUAUGCCACAGAACACCGAUCGCGAAGGCAGCUGGCGAGGCCGGUACUGACGCUCAGGCACGAAAGCGUGGGGAUCAAACAGGAUUAGAUACCCUGGUAGUCCACGCAGUAAACGAUGAUAACUUGUUGUCGGCGAUAGAGUGUCGGUGACAAAGCGAAAGCGAUAAGUCUUCCACCUGGGGAGUACGAUCGCAAGGUUGAAACUCAAAGGAAUUGACGGGGGCCCGCACAAGCGGAGGAGCAUGUGGUUUAAUUCGAUGAUACGCGAGGAACCUUACCUGGACUCAAAUGUUGAGCGACCGGCCUAGAAAUAGGCCUUCCCUUCGGGGCGCUUAGCAAGGUGCUGCAUGGUUGUCGUCAGCUCGUGCCGUGAGGUGUCAGGUUAAGUCCUAUAACGAGCGCAAC